rnacentral:rRNA from 1 species
CCUACGGGGGGCAGCAGUGAGGAAUAUUGGUCAAUGGGCGAGAGCCUGAACCAGCCAAGUCGCGUGAAGGAAGAAGGUUCUAUGGAUUGUAAACUUCUUUUGCAGGGGAAUAAAGGACGGUACGUGUACUGUUUUGUAUGUACCUUGCGAAUAAGGAUCGGCUAACUCCGUGCCAGCAGCCGCGGUAAUACGGAGGAUCCGAGCGUUAUCCGGAUUUAUUGGGUUUAAAGGGUGCGUAGGUGGAUUGUUAAGUCAGUGGUGAAAGUUUUCAGCUC